UCCCUGGUGGUUCAGUGGUUAGGACAUGGCACUAACACUGCCCUGGUCUCGGUUCAAUCCAGGUUGGGGAA
rnacentral:tRNA from 1 species